rnacentral:rRNA from 1 species
UGGGCGAAAGCCUGAUCCAGCAAUGCCGCGUGAGUGAUGAAGGCCUUAGGGUUGUAAAGCUCUUUUGCCAGGGAUGAUAAUGACAGUACCUGGAGAAUAAGCUCCGGCUAACUCCGUG